CCUACGGGUGGCAGCAGUGAGGAAUAUUGGUCAAUGGUCGGGAGACUGAACCAGCCAAGCCGCGUGAGGGAUGAAGGUACAGAGUAUCGUAAACCUCUUUUGUCAGGGAACAAAGGCGGGGACGCGUCCCCGGAUGAGUGUACCUGAAGAAAAAGCAUUGGCUAACUCCGUGCCAGCAGCCGCGGUAAUACGGGGGAUGCGAGCGUUAUCCGGAUUUAUUGGGUUUAAAGGGUGCGCAGGCGGUCUGUUAAGUCAGCGGUCAAAGCCCGGGGCUCAACCCCGGCCCGCCGUUGAAACUGGCAGUCUCGAGUUGGAGAGAAGUAUGCGGAAUGCGUGGUGUAGCGGGGAAAUGCAUAGAUAUCACGAAGAACUCCGAUUGCGAAGGCAGCAUACCGGCGCUCAACUGACGCUCAUGCACGAAAGUGUGGGUAUCGAACAGGAUUAGAUACCCCUGUAGUC
rnacentral:rRNA from 1 species